rnacentral:tRNA from 1 species
UAAAAAUUAUACUAAAUGCUUAAAUAAUUUUAUUAAAAAAUAUUUUUGUCUUUUAAUAAAUAAUAUUUUUAAAAAUUCAAAUUUUUAAUUUAUAAAGAAUUAAAUAUUAUUUUCUUCUAAAAAUCAAUAAAAAAUUAAUUUUUCAAAAAUUUAAUCUUUAUUUUUAU